rnacentral:rRNA from 1 species
ACUAGAGUGCAGAAGAGGGCGAUGGAACUCCAUGUGUAGCGGUAAAAUGCGUAGAUAUAUGGAAGAACACCAGUGGCGAAGGCGGUCGCCUGGUCUGUAACUGACGCUGAAGCACGAAAGCGUGGGGAGCAAAUAGGAUUAGAUACCCUAGUAGUCCACGCCGUAAACGAUGAGAACUAAGUGUUGGGGGAAUAACUCAGUGCUGCAGUUAACGCAAUAAGUUCUCCGCCUGGGGAGUAUGCACGCAAGUGUGAAACUCAAAGGAAUUGACGGGGGCCCGCACAAGCGGUGGAGUAUGUGGUUUAAUUCGAAGCAACGCGAAGAACCUUACCAGGCCUCGACAUCCCCGGCGAAGACAUGGAGACAUGUCGGAGGUUAACCGGGAGACAGGUGGUGCAUGGUUGUCGUCAGCUCGUGUCGUGAGAUGUUGGGUUAAGUCCCGCAACGAGCGCAACCCUUGUGAUAUGUUACUAACAGUAAGAUGAGGACUCAUAUCAGACUGCCGGUGACAAACCGGAGGAAGGUGGGGAUGACGUCAAAUCAUCAUGCCCUUAUGGCCCGGGCUACACACGUACUACAAUGGCGGCUACAAAGAGCGGCGAACCCGCGAGGGGGAGCGAAUCUCAUAAAGGUCGUCUCAGUUCGGAUUGAAGUCUGCAACCCGACUUCAUGAAGUUGGAAUCGCUAGUAAUCGCGAAUCAGCAUGUCGCGGUGAAUACGUUCUCGGGCCUUGUACACACCGCCCGUCAAACCAUGGGAGUUGGUAAUACCCGAAGCCGGUGGCAUAACCGCAAGGAGUGAACCGUCGAAGGUAGGAUCGAUGACUGGGGUUAAGUCGUAACAAGGUAACC